rnacentral:rRNA from 1 species
UACGUAGGUGACAAGCGUUGUCCGGAUUUACUGGGCGUAAAGAGCGCGCAGGCGGUCGAUCAAGUCGAGUGUGAAAGCCCCCGGCUCAACUGGGGAGGGUCAUUCGAUACUGAUCGACUCGAAGGCAGGAGAGGGUAGUGGAAUUCCCGGUGUAGUGGUGAAAUGCGUAGAGAUCGGGAGGAACACCAGAGGCGAAAGCGGCGACCUGGACAGGCACUGACACUCAACUACGAAAGCGUGGGGAGCAAACAGG